GCAUGCCAGGCCGUGAGUAGUUUCUCCUCUUCCACACCCCGUUGACAUGCCAUUCUGCCUUGGAGCCAGCAAACUAUGGACUGAAACCUCUACAAACAGUAGGCCAAACAAACCUCUCCUCCUUUAAACUUUCUCUAAGGACAAUGGAAGCAGAACUGGACCUGGGAUGUUGCCCUAAUUCAGCCAUGGUGUGAGAUGCUGCGUUUCAAGCACAAAAAGUCAACCAUGAAAACAAACCUAAAAUACUGAAGUUUUAGCAGAAUCGGCUACUAUUGUGCAAACUGUGGGAUAUUUGAAAGCAUGGAGUAUCUCCUGCAACCAAAAGACUAAGUUUGAAGUAAAAAUGACCAAUGUGAAUGUUUUUUGUCCAUGAAGAUGACAAAAUAACCCAAGAAUGUGAAGCCCCACCCCCAUUCAGGCCUUCAAGCCAUGAGCAGACCAUUGAGCAGAGGAGCCAUGUGGGCACCUGAAGCACUACACCAGCUCCCACCCCAGCUACUGACCUCCUGCCUACACCUGUAUUUGGAUCCACACCACAGAGGCACAUGGGGUCAUAAAGGCCAUCGUCCUGAGCUCCAGAAGAUAAAGCACAAAUGAAUAGAAAGAGGGCAUUACUCCUUCUAGUUCCCCAUCCCAAAAGAGAACAAUCAGCAUUCUGGUUCCAUAGUUUGAAACAGGCAUUGAAUUUAAGGGUAUGAGAAUUAAUGAGGUUAUAACCAGUUAACACAUGGCCUUUGGGAAAUAAAAAGAUAUUUAUACUGAGAAAGUAAUGGACUUCCAUUGAAAUAGCCAGAAGACGUAAUUCAUCUCAUUAAGAAGCACACACUGAAGACAAUCAGGGGUCUCCUUGAAAAGAGAAUAUAUGACACAAGGUGCUUGUUAAAAUCACACUGACUCUAGCUCCCUUCUGCACUGAUUGCCCGAAAGAGAAAUGCAUUUUAACAGCAUCUCCGGAAUCAAGAUCAAGAACAUCCUGAAUUGGGACUCCUGAGGAUGACCACCUGGUGACAACUGACAGCAAGCCCUUGGGUUAGGAGAUGCCUCACUGCAUGUGGCUUCAGCCCUACUUGAGUGGAUGAGGGAUACUGAAACUCAGUGGUGUUGUUCCAUGCUCUGCUUCCCAGCUACCAUGAAGUAAGCAACUUUGCUCUACCAUGCCCUUACAAGGUGAUAUUUCUGCCUUGGAGACAGCCAGUCAUGGACUUAAUCCCCUGAAAUCCUAAAGCAAAUUAAACUGUUUCUCAUUUAAGUUGUGGAUGACAAGUAAUUUAUUCCAGAAACAAAGAGAGCUGACUAAUACAAAGACAAAUGAUGUUGUAGUACUAUUAUGAAAAUAGUUUUGAUCAUCUUAGAAACCCUGAAUAUCCAUGAACCACACUUGGUAAAUAUGAAUCUAGAGAAUCUCUUAAAUGUCAACCCUAGAUAUAAAUUUAUAGGAC
ensembl:lncRNA